UGCGAAGGGGGCUAGCGUUGCUCGGAAUCACUGGGCGUAAAGCGCACGUAGGCGGCUUUUUAAGUCAGAGGUGAAAUCCUGGAGCUCAACUCCAGAACUGCCUUUGAUACUGGAGAGCUUGAGUCCGGGAGAGGUGAGUGGAACUGUGAGUGUAGAGGUGAAAUUCGUAGAUAUUCGCAAGAACACCAGUGGCGAAGGCGGCUCACUGGCCCGGUACUGACGCUGAGGUGCGAAAGCGUGGGGAGCAAACAGGG
rnacentral:rRNA from 1 species